rnacentral:lncRNA from 1 species
CCACCUUUGAAUCCCCCAUUCUCUCAAAUUCUCUCUCAAACUUAGCUGCCGCCUUCUUCCACCAUCCUAAAAAAAUGCCUGAAUCAAUAGCUUCCAAAGCCAUCAAAGAAUGUAUUUGCCUCCUACGACUUCUACCUACUUGAUUAUCCUGCUUUCAAGAACAGAACCUGAUGAAGUUUGGUCCAGAAGUUGGUCUAUUUCAGUGCUAUGAUAUCUCCGGCUAUCUUUGACCUUGCUCCAGCCAGCCAUGGCUAUUAAAGCCUGAGUUUGACUUCUC